CCAGAAAAAGGAGAUUUUAACUCCCACCCCUGGCUCCCAAAGCCAGAAUUCUAAAUUAAACUAUCUUCUG
rnacentral:tRNA from 3 species